rnacentral:rRNA from 1 species
AAAUUGAAGAGUUUGAUCAUGGCUCAGAUUGAACGCUGGCGGCAGGCCUAACACAUGCAAGUCGAACGGUAACAGGAAACAGCUUGCUGUUUCGCUGACGAGUGGCGGACGGGUGAGUAAUGUCUGGGAAGCUGCCUGAUGGAGGGGGAUAACUACUGGAAACGGUAGCUAAUACCGCAUAAUGUCGCAAGACCAAAGAGGGGGACCUUCGGGCCUCUUGCCAUCGGAUGUGCCCAGAUGGGAUUAGCUAGUAGGUGGGGUAACGGCUCACCUAGGCGACGAUCCCUAGCUGGUCUGAGAGGAUGACCAGCCACACUGGAACUGAGACACGGUCCAGACUCCUACGGGAGGCAGCAGUGGGGAAUAUUGCACAAUGGGCGCAAGCCUGAUGCAGCCAUGCCGCGUGUAUGAAGAAGGCCUUCGGGUUGUAAAGUACUUUCAG